GUUAAACCGGAGGAAGGGUGGGGAUGACGUCAAGUCCUCAUGGCCUUUAUGACCAGGGCUACACACGUACUACAAUGGCCGAUAACGAAAGGGCAGCGACACUGCGAGGUGAAGCCAACUACCCGUAAAAUCGGUCUCAGUCCGGAUUGGAGUCUGCAACUCCGACCCCAUGAAGUUGGAAUCGCUAGUAAUCGUGGAUCAGCAUGCCACGGUGAAUACGUUCCCGGGCCUU
rnacentral:rRNA from 1 species